AGGAAAUGCAGGCAAGUGCUACAGCAUCUUGGUGUCCCAGCAGCUCCCACUGGGAGGUUAACACCCAAGGUGCUCAGCAUGAGCCAUGUAGAAGUGGAUGUAGAAACACUUAUGGGUGGUGGGAAAAGUGCUGUGCCAAGCAGGAAGCUCCAGUGGAUGAUGGGACACUGCUGGCUUGUUGACUGGAUGGAAAGCGCAUCAUUGGGGAGAACCACGACAAGGAGCUGAACUCCAUGAUUUUGACUAGAGGUGACAGCUGAAAAGCACCAGAAACCCUUGGAAUUUCAGAUCUAUAUAUUACUAUAAAGGAAGAAAAUAAAGUUCCGCUAGUAGAAGUUUGGCGUGUACUUACCAACAGCAUGGCGGGAUGUCUGCAGUGAAAUGUUCCCAGCCCUGUGACCUCCUGCUGCAGGAAAAGAUCAAUAUUAUAAAGAGGUGGAGUGACUCCGUGAAUUAGUCUCCUGCGUUUUCACUCCUGGAAGUGGCGGAUCUAAUCCUGUUUGGAGAAGUAUCCAGUAUGGACUACAGCUGCUGAGAAGACGCCAGACUAAACGGACCAUUGGAAAUUGCACGUGCCGAUAUCAUUCCUUUAAAUAGGAAUGAUUUGCUCUUAUGCUUGAUAAACACAUAAGUAGAAGCCUAGUCUUUUCAUUUCUGCCUCUUUUCCUGGAGGGCCAGGGGAUCUCCCAGUGCUGUCUGUUCUUUUCCUCUGUGUUUUGCAGGCAAGGGAAUCUCAUGCAAGCCUCAGCUCCACAUCCUCUGAAGAGGCAACAUUAAAGUCAGCACUUGACUGCACUGAAUUUUACAGGAUUUUCUCCCAAGAUCUUUCUGGCAAGCAUUGCACUCUCCUGGGUUUCGAUGCUGUGAGAAUUACAAUUCAUCCAGAGUUCAAGCCUUUGGUUAAGACAAUGUCCUCAGGGUUAUGAGAGUUGGGGACCUGAUUGGAAAAGCAGCUCUCUGGAAAAAUAAUUAUGGAAGACAAAAAAUAAUAAUAAAAGAGAAAGAAAAUAUGUGACGCGCUGUAGAAGUUACAGCUGCAAACAGGUUUUCAUUCUCUUGUGCAUAAGCAAAUAAAUACAAAAUAAAAGAAACUACA